UACGUAGGGGGCUAGCGUUGCUCGGAAUCACUGGGCGUAAAGCGCACGUAGGCGGCUUUCUAAGUCAGGGGUGAAAUCCUGGAGCUCAACUCCAGAACUGCCCUUGAUACUGGAAGGCUCGAGUCCGGGAGAGGUGAGUGGAACUGCGAGUGUAGAGGUGAAAUUCGUAGAUAUUCGCAAGAACACCAGUGGCGAAGGCGGCUCACUGGCCCGGUACUGACGCUGAGGCGCGAAAGCCAGGGGAGCAAACGGG
rnacentral:rRNA from 1 species